AUGGCGCUCGUAUGCAGUCGGCCAGCCUCCCUCCUACUCAUCGCGGCUCUUCUCUCCGCCGCAACCUUCCUUGCCGUCCCGGCCGCGGCCACGGGGAAGACCGGCCAGGUGGCCGUGUUCUGGGGUAGGAACAAGAACGAGGGGUCCCUCCGGGAGGCCUGCGACACCGGCACCUACACCAUCGCCAUCAUCUCCUUCCUCGACGUCUUCGGCCGCGGCAACUACCACCUCGACCUGUCUGGCCACGACGUCUCCGCCGUCGGCGCCGACAUCAAGCACUGCCAGUCCAAGAACGGCGCGCCGGCCAACUACGACGAGCUGGCCAAGCGGCUAUGGAACUUCAAUAAGGACUUCCGCGGCAGGACGCCGGUGCAGCUGACGGCCACGCUGCGGUGCGGCUACCCGGACCGGCACGUGGAGCGGGCGCUCGCCACGGGGCUCGUCGGACGCAUCUUCGUCAGGUUCUACGACGACGCCGACUGCGCCGCCAACUGGCAGCGACAGUGGGACAAGUGGACGGCGGCGUACCCUUCGGCGCAGAUCUACCUCGGGCUGCCGGCGUCGGAGCAGAAGGUCGGUUACGUUCACCCAAAGAACCUCUACUACAGCGUCAUACAGGUGGCGCAGAAGGCGGCCAACUACGGCGGCGUCAUGGUGUGGGAACGCUACGAGGACAAGCGGACCAACUAUAGCAGCUACGCCAUCCAAUGGGCUUGA
rnacentral:rRNA from 1 species